rnacentral:rRNA from 1 species
CCUACGGGGGGCUGCAGUGAGGAAUAUUGGUCAAUGGCCGGAAGGCUGAACCAGCCAAGUCGCGUGAGGGACGACUGCCCUAUGGGUUGUAAACCUCUUUUAUAAGGGAAGAAUAAAUGCUACGUGUAGCAUGAUGCCUGUACCUUAUGAAUAAGCAUCGGCUAACUCCGUGCCAGCAGCCGCGGUAAUACGGAGGAUGCGAGCGUUAUCCGGAUUUAUUGGGUUUAAAGGGUGCGUAGGCGGACAGGCAAGUCAGCGGUAAAAAUGCGGUGCUCAACGCCGUACAGCCGUUGAAACUGGCAGUCUUGAGUGGGCGAGAAGUAUGCGGAAUGCGUGGUGUAGCGGUGAAAUGCAUAGAUAGCACGCAGAACUCCGAUUGCGAAGGCAGCAUACCGGCGCCCGACUGACGCUGAGGCACGAAAGCGUGGGUAUCGAACAGGAUUAGAUACCCUUGUAGUC